AAGCACAGGAUUUGGGAUCUGGAGAGACCAGGGGGCUCUGAGGGGCAGGAGAAAGAUGAAGAAAGUGAGAGUGCAGAGGAAGAAGAAAAACAUGAAGAAAGACCAAACAAAGAUGGGGGAGAUGGAGUGUUACAUGAUUCAGCAUUUGCCAUAGCCAGGUCUGCAACAGGGAUGGACAGGAGAGGAAAUGACCACUCAUCAAACAAAUCCCACCGGCGGGAUGAGAGGGUAAGAGGGAGAGCAAUGCCGGCCCACUACCAGCACCUUGCCCCAGCUACUGAUAGACCAACAAGCUCAAAGCAGAGUUUUAGCUGAGGCUCUAAAGGACAGAUCUACACAUCUGACUGAACUGGUCCAAAAAGCUGGAAGUGAUAGCAGCGUUCUGCAGAGUCGCAAGCUAAGACCCAAACCCCUGCCUCCUGUGAGAUGCACAGGUCCUGGGGCUCAGAGGGUGGCCACUUGUCACCAUUCAAGAACAAGACUACACACUGGCCUCCAGUCUCCGAUUUACAAUUUUUCUCUGCAUUUGACCCCUGGACAACAAAUUCAGAUGUCUCCUUCCUUCCAACAAGGACCACAAGCCGAAGCCUCUCUUUCUCCAACUUGUUCCUCUUCUGAACCAUUCAGGUACUCUCCUACACACAGA